CAGACCCUGCCAAACCGAAGUCUAACGCUCCGCGUCAGAUAGUAAUUAGGUGCGGUGGGGUUUA
rnacentral:sRNA from 12 species